GACGAACGCUGGCGGCGUGCUUAACACAUGCAAGUCGAACGGAAAGGCCUCUUUCGGGGGGUACUCGCGUGGCGAACGGGUGAGUAACACGUGAGUAACCUGCCCUUGACUUUGGGAUAACUUCAGGAAACUGGGGCUAAUACCGGAUAGGAGCUCCUGCUGCAUGGUGGGGGUUGGAAAGUUUCGGCGGUUGGGGAUGGACUCGCGGCUUAUCAGCUUGUUGGUGGGGUAGUGGCUUACCAAGGCGUUGACGGGUAGCCGGCCUGAGAGGGUGACCGGCCACAUUGGGACUGAGAUACGGCCCAGACUCCUACGGGAGGCAGCAGUGGGGAAUAUUGCACAAUGGGUGGAAGCCUGAUGCAGCAACGCCGUGUGCGGGAUGACGGCCUUCGGGUUGUAAACCGCUUUCGCUCAUGACGAAGCUUUGUGUGACGGUAGUGGGUAAAGAAGCACCGGCUAACUACGUG
rnacentral:rRNA from 1 species